rnacentral:lncRNA from 1 species
CUCCGCUGUGCAGAUGCACGGCACGAAAAACGUGGUCUCCCUCCAGAGGUUCCAACUCGCAGACGGGGCGGAGGAGCCCGCGGUAGUUUGUGCAGUCUUCGGGGAGCUCACGGCGGCGACUCAGUCCCAACGCGUUAGAAGCCAAACAAAAAGAGAAAGGAAACAAGCACGGGUCUACCGGCUGGCGACGCACGGCAGCCAGAAUCCGCGCUGCACCCCCUUUUUUUGGUGGAACAGUUACCUACGUUUUAACUGUAGAUGGCGUCUGAGGCUUUUCCAAUUGCAAGGGAGCAUUUAACUUGGUGCGGUCAGCGCUGCCAACAAAAGAUUGCAAAAGCU